rnacentral:rRNA from 1 species
GGCUUUGUUUGCGCAGGAUAGGUGGGAGGCGUUGAAGAUUUUCUUGCGGGGAGAUUGGAGCCGUUGGUGAGAUACCACUCUAACAAUGCUAGGAUUCUAACCCUAUACCGUUAUCCGGUUAGGGGACAGUUUCAGGUGGUCAGUUUGACUGGGGCGGUCGCCUCCCAAAAGGUAACGGAGGCGUGCAAAGGUUUCCUCAGGCUGGUCGGAAAUCAGUCGUAGAGUGUAAAGGCAUAAGGAAGCUUGAUUGUGAGACCUACAAGUCGAGCAAAGACGAAAGUCGGCCUUAGUGAUCCGACGGUUCCGAGUGGAAGGGCCGUCGCUCAACGGAUAAAAGUUACUCUAGGGAUAACAGGCUGA